rnacentral:tRNA from 1 species
GGCCAGAUAGCUCAGUUGGUAGAGCACGUGACUGAAAAUCACGGUGUCGUCAGUUCGAUUCUGACUCUGGCCA